GGGAUUGUAUUUCAAUUGGUCAGAGCACUGCCUUUUCAAGGCGAAAGCUGCGGGUUCAAGCCCCGUCAUUCCCG
rfam:Nicotiana attenuata strain TT chromosome 1, whole genome shotgun sequence.